AACAUUUACUCAUCAAAUGCUCUAGUCUGAAUCUUAUUUUAAAUGAAUUUAAUGAUAUGUUUAAUGAGCAAUAUUAAUUGCACACAGAGUAAGUAGAGAUUAUCUUGUUUUACAGAAGAGAAGAUCAAGGAAAUUAUUUGUUCAGGAUGAGGAAUGAAGACGGCCAUCUUGUGCCCAAACGAAGACAGAAAGCUGUCCACUGAUGAUCUCAUCAGCCAAAUGAGGGGUUUUGACCAAGUGAUGGUCUUGAAAGGAAUGAAAGAAGAGGAUGUGGUAAAUUGUCUUCAAAGAAAAAGCUUCUCAAAAGGUCUUAAAACAGCUUGAAGAAUGGUCUGGGAACUGUCUGAAAAUGGGAUGUUAGGACUGAGAGAUCCUCUGGCUGAGAAAAAGCUACACCAGAUCAGUGCUGGAUAUCAACCACAAACUGUUUCCAGACACGAGAGAAGAAGAUCAUGAUGGGGAAAUGAAACCAGUUUAGAUGUGAUGAUAAGGAAUCAUUAUUUUCUGAAACAGUAUCACAUGUCUUAUAUGUAUCACAUGAUCUGUAUCACAGUUGCCUGGAUGGGAUUGUGUGACUUUUUAAGGACAUUUCAUUACUC
ensembl:lncRNA